CCUCGGGAAGUCUGCGGAUGCUGACGGAGGUGAGGUGCACCACCCGCCGCAGAGGACUGUCGUAUAGCCGCGGAGUGAGACGCAGUCACGCUGCACGGAGUGGAAUUUUUUUUCUCAUUAUUUUAACCACAGCUGGAGGAUCCAAUUGGCCGUCUGUCAAGACACUGGACGAACCUCAACCCAAAUUAAGGCCGUUACUGGUGCCGACUGCAGCCCCAUAACCAUCAGACAGCAUCUGAGACUGCAGGGCUUCAAAAACAAAAAAGGUCUUCAAAGGCCUUGUCUCAUGGGAAAUUGAAAGGCAGAUCCCAUCUGAGAUGUUUCCUAUGUGCCACAGGAGGUGCAUGGGCUUCAAACGCUGGCUAUGUCCAGAUGUUGCAGAGAGCAUGACUGAGGGCCCUCGUCUGUGUGGUAACGACUGGGUUUUUCAACAGGACAACACUACAGUACACAAUGCCGGCAGAACAAGAGACUUCUUCCACUCUUUUUGGCCCAUUCCCCUGAUCUAAAUCCAAUUGAGAACCUUUGGGGAUGGAUGGCAAGGGAAGUUUACAAAAAUGGACAACAGUUCCAGACAGUAGAUGUCCUUCGUGUGGCCGUCUUCACCACUUGGAAAAAUGUUCCCACUCACCUCAUGGAAGGGCUUGCAUCAAACAAAUAUUUGAAGUGAUCAACAAUAACGGUGGAGCUACUCAUUACCAAGUUUAUGUUUGGAACUUCGAUUUUUGUUUUGGGGGGAUUUAUGGGGUUUUUUUGGAGGUGUGGUCCUAAACUUUUGAUAAACUGUA